GACGAACGCUGGCGGCGUGCCUAACACAUGCAAGUCGAGCGGAGAUAAGCGGAAGGUAACUGAAGCUUAUCUUAGCGGCGGACGGGUGAGUAACACGUGGGCAACCUGCCUUGAAGUGGGGGAUAACACCGGGAAAUCGGUGCUAAUACCGCAUAACAUACACAAACUGCAUGGUAAGUGUAUCAAAGGAGCAAUCCGCUUUAAGAUGGGCCCGCGGCUGAUUAGCUAGUUGGUAAGGUAACGGCUUACCAAGGCGACGAUCAGUAGCCGACCUGAGAGGGUGACCGGCCACACUGGAACUGAGACACGGUCCAGACUCCUACGGGAGGUAGCAGUGGGGAAUAUUGCGCAAUGGGGGGGAACCCUGACGCAGCAACGCCGCGUGGAGGAAGAAGGUCUUCGGAUUGUAAACUCCUGUCUUCUGGACGAAUAAUGACGGUACCAGAGGAGGAAGCCACGGCUAACUACGUG
rnacentral:rRNA from 1 species